rnacentral:rRNA from 1 species
GAUGAACGCUGGCGGCGUGCCUAAUACAUGCAAGUCGAGCGAACAGACGAGGAGCUUGCUCCUCUGACGUUAGCGGCGGACGGGUGAGUAACACGUGGAUAACCUACCUAUAAGACUGGGAUAACUUCGGGAAACCGGAGCUAAUACCGGAUAAUAUAUUGAACCGCAUGGUUCAAUAGUGAAAGACGGUUUUGCUGUCACUUAUAGAUGGAUCUGCGCCGCAUUAGCUAGUUGGUAAGGUAACGGCUUACCAAGGCGGCGAUGCGUAGCCGACCUGAGAGGGUGAUCGGCCACACUGGAACUGGGACACGGUCCAGACUCCUACGGGAGGCAGCAGUAGGGAAUCUUCCGCGAUGGGCGAGAGCCUGACGGAGCAACGCCGCGUGAGUGAUGAAGGUCUUCGGAUCGUAAAACUCUGUUAUGAGGGAAGAACAAAUGUGUAAGUAACUAUGCACGUCUUGACGGUACCUAAUCAGAAAGCCACAGCUAACUACGUG